AGUUAUCUUCCCUCUUCAAAUUGUUUAGGACACUGAAUAUGGCCUCAGGAUCUUUACAUGAUUCUAUGUGGGGUAGAAGAAAACCCGGAGGACUGAGGCUUCUCUCCCUCAGGGAAGAGAAAGAGAGUGUGUGACCUGGGUCCCUUUACAGGAACCUCAGUUUUCUUGGUUCUUACAUAAGACUGAGUGGACAGCCAGUGUGGAGGCAAGCCAUGUCUCUUCAUAAUAGUCAUUUUAGUUUCUCAUGAGAACCAUACUACAAAAAACACAAAAUUCUGUCCUUACCGUUAUCCCUCUGUGUGCUGGUUAAUACUGAGUGUCAACUUGAUUGGAUUGAAAGAUGCAGGGUGUUGAUCUUGGGUGUGUCUGUGGGGUGUUACCAAAGGAGAUUAGUGUUUGAGUCAGUGGGCUUCAAAAGGCAGACACACCCUUAAUCUUGUGGGCACAAUCUAAUCAGCUGCCAGUGAAUAUAAAGCAGGGAGAGAAACGUGAAAAACUGAGACAGGCCUAUCCUCCCAGUCUGCAUCUUUCUCCCGUGCUGGAUGCUUCCUGCCCCUGAACAUCAGACUCCAAGUUCUUCAGUUUUGGGAUUCUGACUCUCCUUGCUUCUCAGCUUGCAGACAGCCUAUUAUGGGAUCUUAUGAUCGUGCUCUGGGACUCAGGCAAAGAGAGAGAGUGUGCCAAGGAAGGAGGUCGUGUUUCCUCUCACUGUUUACCCUCCGGUCCAGAUUUUUCUUCAAAAGAAAUCUGAGUGGUCUGACAGGUAAAAUAUCCUGAUAUACCAAGAUUAUACAGCGUCUUUCUGUGCCAUUACCUAACCAAUCUAUCUGUUAAACCCCAACCCUGUUUGAUAAUUGGGGGAGGGUGUGGGAGAGUCAUUUGUUCAAAGUGAUACAGAGACACUAUAGAGGAGUGUGUAGGAGCACAAGGCUUCAGAUACAGGUUUUCCCAGUUCCAGUCUCACCUCUCUGUUACCUUGGGCAAGUCCUUUAAUCUUGCUUGGGAGCCCAAAAGUGAGAACACAGUGGGCAUCCACCCCUGGCCUUGGCAAUGUGCCAGAUUCAAAUAAAAUACCACCCAGCACUUUUCGAGGUGAGACAGGGUCACUUUUUGAGGUGAGACAGGGUGAGUGUAAUCUUUAAAUCACUGAUAUGACGAUCCCAGGAUGGAAACUCAGCAGGAUGGGCCUCAGAAACAG
rnacentral:lncRNA from 1 species